CCUACGGGGGGCAGCAGUGAGGAAUAUUGGUCAAUGGACGAGAGUCUGAACCAGCCAAGUAGCGUGAAGGAUGACUGCCCUAUGGGUUGUAAACUUCUUUUAUAUGGGAAUAAAAUGUUCCACGUGUGGGAUUUUGUAUGUACCAUAUGAAUAAGGAUCGGCUAACUCCGUGCCAGCAGCCGCGGUAAUACGGAGGAUCCGAGCGUUAUCCGGAUUUAUUGGGUUUAAAGGGAGCGUAGGUGGAUUGUUAAGUCAGUUGUGAAAGUUUGCGGCUCAAACGUAAAAUUGCAGUUGAAACUGGCAGUCUUGAGUACAGUAGAGGUGGGCGGAAUGCGUGGUGUAGCGGUGAAAUGCUUAGAUAUCACGAAGAACUCCGAUUGCGAAGGCAGUUCACUGGACUGCAACUGACACUGAGGCUCGAAAGUGUGGGUAUCAAACAGGAUUAGAUACCCGAGUAGUC
rnacentral:rRNA from 1 species